CCUACGGGGUGCAGCAGUGAGGAAUAUUGGUCAAUGGACGAGAGUCUGAACCAGCCAAGUCGCGUGAAGGAUGACUGCCCUAUGGGUUGUAAACUUCUUUUAUAAAGGAAUAAAACGAGGCACGUGUGCCUUUUUGCAUGUACUUUAUGAAUAAGGAUAGGCUAACUCCGUGCCAGCAGCCGCGGUAAUACGGAGGAUCCGAGCGUUAUCCGGAUUUAUUGGGUUUAAAGGGAGCGUAGAUGGGUUGUUAAGUCAGUUGUGAAAGUUUGGGGCUCAACCGUAGAAUUGCACUUGAUACUGGCAGUCUUGAGUACAGUUGAGGUAGGCGGAAUUCGUGGUGUAGCGGUGAAAUGCUUAGAUAUCACGAAGAACCCCGAUUGCGAAGGCAGCUUACUAAACUGUGACUGACAUUGAUGCUCGAAAGUGUGGGUAGCAAACAGGAUUAGAUACCCUAGUAGUC
rnacentral:rRNA from 1 species